AACCUCUACAAUGCACGAAAGUGUGAUAGGGGGAUCCUAAGUGCUCAUGCAAAGCAUGGGCUUUUGCCAAGCGUAAAUAACUUGGAGAAUAAGUGGUGGGCAAGACUGGUGCCAGCCGCCGCGGUAACACCAGCGCCACGAGUGGGGAUCGCAUAUUUGGCCUAAAGCGUCCGUAGCCGGUCUUGUAAAUUCUUUGUGAAAUCGAUAAGCUUAACUUAUCGGCGUGCAGAGAAGACUGCUUGACUCGAAAUCGGGAGGGGUCGGGAGUAUUCGAUGGGGAGCGGUAAAAUGCGAUAAUCCAUUGAAGACUACCUGUGGCGAAGGCGCCCGACCAGAACGAAUUUGACGGUGAGGGACGAAAGCUGGGGGAGCGAUCCGGAUUAGAUACCCGAGUAGUCCCAGCUGUAAACUCUGCGAGCAAGGUGUUGCGCAAUUUUAGUGAUUGCGCAGUAUCGAAGCGAAGGCGUUAAGCUCGCCGCCUGGGGAGUAUGGUCGCAAGACUGAAACUUAAAGGAAUUGGCGGGGGAAUACUACAAGGGGUGCGGCGUGCGGUUUAAUUGAACUCAACGCCGGUCAUCUCACCAAGGGCGACGGCAGGAUGAAGGUCAGGUUAAAGACUUUACCUAACGAGCCGAGAGGUGGUGCAUGGCCGCCGUCAGCUCGUGCUGUAAGGUGUCCUCUUAAGUGAGGUAACGAGCGAGACCUGUGCCAUUAAUUGCUAACGGGCGAUUUAUCGCGGCUGAGCACAUUAGUGGGACUGCCUGGGAAACCAGGAGGAAGGUGCAGACAACGGUAGGUCCGUAUGCCCCGAAUCCCUUGGGCUACACGCGCGCAACAAUGGAUGGGACAAAGGGAUGCAACCGCGAAAGCGGGAGCUAAACCUCAAAACCCAUUCCUAGUUCAGAUUGAGGGCUGCAACUCGCCCUCAUGACGUCGGAAUCCCUAGUAAUCAGAGUUCAAAAUACUCUGGGUGAAUAUGUCCCCUG
rnacentral:rRNA from 1 species